UUACGAGGUCAGGACACUGUGAGGAUUGACAGAUUGAAAGCUCUUUCUUGAUUCAGUGGGUGGUGGUGCAUGGCCGUUCUUAGUUGGUGGAGUGAUUUGUCUGGUUAAUUCCGUUAACGAACGAGACCUUAACCUGCUAAAUAGUCACGCGAACCGGUCCGCAAGGGCUCAAAGUUCGCGGCUCGACUUCUUAGAGGGACUAUUCGCACCCGCCAGCGAAUGGAAGUUUGAGGCAAUAACAGGUCUGUGAUGCCCUUAGAUGUUCUCGGCCGCACGCGCGUUACACUGACGGAGUCAACGAGCGUUUUUCCUUGCCCGAUAGGGCCGGGUAACCUCCUGAAACUCCGUCGUGAUGGGGAUAGAUCGUUGCAAUUAUUGAUCUUGAACGAGGAAUUCCUAGUAAGCGCGAGUCAUCAACUCGCGCUGAUUACGUCCCCGCCCUUUGUACACACCGCCCGUCGCUCCUACCGAUUGAACGGUCCGGCGAGAACUCCGGAUGGUC
rnacentral:rRNA from 1 species